rnacentral:lncRNA from 1 species
GGCCGAGGCUGAGCAGCAACAGCCCGCGCAGCAGGUGGAGCAGAAGCAGGUGCGCGUGCGGCAGCUGGUGCGGCAGCACACGCACGCCGACGGCAGCAUCACAGAGGAGAUCAUCUCCGAGCAGAUACUGCAGGAAGGAGACGAGGGCUACGAUCAGCUGGGGAAAGAGCCCGUGGUGGUGUCUGAGGACGUACAGAUGACGACCGCCGGCGGGUAGAGGGUACCUCCCGGACCGUGGCGGACCACGUGGACCGCGUGGACCACGUGGACCAGGCGGCGAGCCAGACCGCCGCCCGGCUGAGACCACGUGUGCCGGGAGACGGGUCAGCUGCCGGUGAGGUGUCAGUGACCGUCCUCAACCUGCGCGGGCGCCCUGCGCCGGCCCGAGAGCAGCCGCGGAUCGUGCGGCACCCGAGUGGAUUGCCGUGAUCUCUGCCAGGCGUGGGCCGACUCGGCUCGCGCUGCUGCCAAAGCGUUUGCGACGGAACUUGGGAGCGCGUGACACCGGGAGCUGACGGCUGGCGGCUGGCUGCACGCUCGGAGGCCAUCGUCAGCAAUCCCAUGAGCGGUGCGUUAGUGUGACGGGCUGCCUCGCCUUGCAGACGCCUUGUGACAUUUCCCAGAGACGAUUUACGGAGGCGCUUUGACGAUGUUGCGUGACUAUGCAAUUCGGAGAACGUUCUCUUAUUUCAUCGUAAUAUGUUUCGUACUUUGAUUGCAUCGGUCUCAAAACGCAAAACGACCGCGAGGUUGGUGGGUUGAGAACCGGCGCGGCUCGCGCUGGUUAUGUUACCUUUGUCAGAUUAUCUGUUCAUGCGUCCUGCAAUAUGACAGAACAGGGUAUAGGGUACCGGAACACGUGAACGAAAUAUAUCGUCCGCCAUUCGUCA